GGGCGCUUAGCUCAGUCGGUAGAGCAGCUGACUCUUAAUCAGCGGGUCACAGGUUCGAAUCCUGUAGCGCCCACCA
rnacentral:tRNA from 1 species